rnacentral:lncRNA from 10 species
AGGCUGAACCUAGACAAGGGUUACAUCACUUAGGUGAUCAGUGUAGAGGUAUGUGAAAAUUCCCGUGUAGACAGAGCCUAGACAAUUGUUACAUCACCUAGUGAUCAGUGCAGGGAUAAGUCAUAAAGCCUCCUGUAGGCAGAGCGUAGACAAGAGUUCCCUCCCCAGGGUGAUCAGUGCAGAGAUGUGUCACAAAGCCCCUGUAGGCAGAGCCUAGACAAGAGUUUCAUCACUUGGUUGAUCAGUUCAGAGAUGUGUCACAAUGUCCAUGUAGGCAGAUCUAAGACAAGGGUCCAUCACCUGGGUGAUCAGUGCAGAGAUAUGUACCAAUGUGCCCUGUAGGCAGUGCCUAGACAAGAGUUGAAUCACCUCAGAGAUCAGUGCAUAGAUAUGUCACAAAGCCUUCUGUAGGCAAAGCCCAUACAAGGUUUACAUCACCUAGGUGAUCAGUGCAGUGAUAUGUCACAAAAAUCCCUGUAGACAGAGCCUAGACAAGAGUUACAUCACCUGGGUGAUCAGUGCAGAUAUUUGACACAAUGCCCCCAUAGACAGAGCCUAGACAAGACUUCCAUCACCUGGGUGAUCAGUGCAGAGAUAUGUCACAAAUCCCCCUCUAGGCAGAGUAUAGAGAAGAGUCCCAUCACCUGGGUGAUCAGUGCAGAGAUAUUUCACAAUGCCCCCUGUAGGCAGAGCACAGAGAAGAGUUGCAUCACCUGGGUGAUCAGUGCAGAGAUAUGUCACAAUGUCCCCUGUAGGCAAAGCCUAGUCAAGAGUUGCAUCACCUGGGUGAUCAGUGCAGAGAUAUUUCACAACGCCCCCUGUAGGCAGAGGGUAGACAAGAGUUACAUCACCUAGGUGAUCAGUGCAGAGAUUUGUCGAAAUUCCCUGUAGGCAGUGCUUAUAAAAGUGUUACAUCACCUAAGUGAUCAGUGCAGAGAUAUGUCACAAAGCUCCUGUAGGCAGAGCUUAGAUGAGUUACAUCACCUGGGUGAUCAGAGCAAAGGUAUGUCACAAAGCCCCCUGUAGGCCAAAGCCUAGACAAUAGUUACAUCACUUGGGUGAUCAGUGGCGAGAUCUCUCACAAUUCCCCUGUAGGCAGAGCUUAUACAACAGUUACAUCACCUGGGUGAUCAGUGCAGAUAUAUGUCACAAUGCCCCCAUAGGCAGAUCCAAGACAAGAGUCCGUCUCCUGGGUGAUCAGUGCAGAAAUACGUCACAAUGCCCCCUUAGGCAGAGCCUAGACAAAAGCCCCAUCACCUGGAUGAUUAGUGCAGAGUUAUGUCACAAAGUCCCUUUAGGCAGAUCCUAGACAAGAGUCCCAUUACUUGGGUGAUCAGUGCAGAGAUAUGUCACAAUGCCACUGUAGGCAGAGCCUAGACAAGAGUUACAUGACCUAGGUGAUCAGUGCAGAGAUACAUCGCAAUGCCCCUGUAGGCAGAGCCUUGACAAGUGGUACAUCACCUGGGUGAUCAUUGCAGGGAUAUGUCACAAAGCACCCUGUAGGCAGAUCCUAGAGAAGAGUUAUAUCACCUGGGUGAUCAGUGCAGAGAUAUGUCACAAGCCCCCUGUAGGCAGAGCCUAGACAAGAGUUAUAUCACCUGGGUGAUCAGUGCAGUCAUAUGUCACAAUGCUGUGUAGCCAGAGCCUAGACAAAAGUUACAGCACCUGGGAGAUCAGUGCAGAGAUAUGUCACAAUGUCCCCAGUAGGCAGAGACCAGGCAAGAGUUGGAUCACCUCGGGAUCAGUGCAGAGAUAUGUCUCAAUCCCCCUGUGGGCACAGCCUAGACAAGAGUUACAUCACCUCGGUUAACAGUGCAGAGAUAUGUCAAAAUGCCCCUGUAGGCAGAGCCUACACAAGUAUUACAUCACUUAGGUGAUCAGUGCAGAGAUAUGUCACAAUACCCCCUGUAAGCAGAGCCUAGACAAGAGUUACAUCACCUGGGUGAUCAGUGCAGACAUAUGUGACAAGGCCCCUUUAAGCAGAGCCUAGACAAUAGUUACAUCACCUGAGUGAUCAGUGCAGAGAUCUGUCACAAUGCCCCUUUAGGCAGAGCUUAGACCAGAGUUACAUCACCUGGGUGAUCAGUGCAGAGGUAUGUCACAUUGCCCCCAUAGGCAAAUCCAAGACAAGAGUCAGUCACCUGGGUGAUCACUGCAGAAAUAUGUGACAAUGCCCCCAGUAGGCAGAACCUAGAGAAGAGUCCCUUCACCUGGGUGAUCAGUGCAGAGUUAUGCCACAAUGCCCCCUGUAGGCAGAGCCUAGACAAGAGUUACAUCAUCUGGUUGAUCAGUAAAGAGAUAUUUCUCAAUGCCCCUGCAGGCAGAGCGUAAGCAAGAGUUACAUCACCUAGAUGAUCAGUGCAGAGAUACGUCACAAGGCCCCCUAUAGGCAGAGCCUGGACAAGAGUUACAUCACCUCGGUGAUCAAUGCAGUGAUAUGUCACUGUGCCCCGUAGGCAGAGCCUAGUCAAGCGUUACAUCACCUGGGUGAUCAGUGCAGAGAUAUGUCAGAAAGCCCCCAUACACAGAGCCUAGACAAGAGUCCCAUCACCUGGGUGAUCAGUGCAGAAAUAUGUCACAAUGCCCCUAUAGGCAGAUCCAACACAAGUGUUACAUCACCUGGGUGAUCAGUGCAGAAAUAUGUCUCAAUGCCCCCAUAGGCAGAUCCAACACAAGAGUUACAUCACCUGGGUGAUCAGUGUAGAGAUAUGUCACAAUGCCCCCGUAGACAGAGCCUAGACAAAAGUCCCAUCACCUGGGUGAUCAGUGCAGAGAUAUGUCACAAAGCCCCUGUAGGCAGAGCCUAGACAAGAGUUACAUCACUUUGUUGAUCAGUUCAGAGAUGUGUCACAAUGCCCAUGUAGGCAGAGCCUAGACAAGUGUUCCAUCACCUGGGUGAUCAGUGCAGAGAUAUGUGACAAGGCCCCUUUAAGCAGAGCCUAGACAAUAGUUACAUCACCUGAGUGAUCAAUGCAGUGAUAUGUCACUAUGCCCCAGUAGGCAGAGCCUAGUCAAGCGUUACAUCACCUGAGUGAUCAGUGCAGAGAUAUGUCACAAAGCCCCCAUACACAGAGCCUAGACAACAGUCCCAUCCCCUGGGUGAUCAGUGCAGAAAUAUGUCACAAUGCCCCCAUAGGCAGAUCCAACACAAGAGUUACAUCACCUGGGUGAUCAGUGUAGAGAUAUGUCACAAUGCCCCCAUAGGCAGAGCGUAGACAAAAGUCCCAUCACCAGGGUGAUCAGUGCAGAGAUAUGUCACAAAGCCCCCAUAGGCAGAGCCUAGACAAGAGUUACAUCACUUGGUUGAUCAGUUCAGAGAUGUGUCACAAUGCCCAUGUAGGCAGAGCCUACACAAGUGUUACAUCACUUAGGUGAUCAGUGCAGAGCUAUGUCACAAUACCCCCGUAAGCAGAGCCUAGACAAGAGUUACAUCACCUGGUUGAUCAGUGCAGAGAUAUCUCACAAUGUCCCUGCAGGCAGAGUGUAGACAAGAGUUACAUCACCUAGAUGAUCAGUGCAGAGAUAUUUCACAAUGCCCCCUGUAGGCAGAGCCUAGACAAGAAUUAUAUUACCUGGAUGAUCAGUACGGUGAUAUGUCACUAUGCCCCCUGUGGGCGGAGCCUAGACAAGAGUUACAUCACCUGGGUGAUAAGGGCAGAGAUAUGUCACAAUGCUCCAGUAGGCAGAGCCUAGACAAGAGUCCUAUCACCUGGGUGAUCAGUGCAGAAAUAUGUCACAAUGCCCCCAGUAGACAGAGCCUAGACAAGAGUUACAUCACCUGGGUGAUCAGUGCAGAAAUAUGUUGCAAUGCCCCCAUAGGCAGAUCCAACACAAGAGUUACAUCACCUGGGUGAUCAGUGCAGAGAUAUGUAACAAUGCCCCCAGUAGGCAGAGCCUAGAGGAGAGUUACAUCAUCUGGGUGAUCUUUGCAGAGAUAUGUCACAAUCCUCCAAGUAAGCAGAGCCUAGACAAAAGUUACAUCAUCUGGGCGAUCAGUGCAGAGACAAGUCACAAAACCCACAUAGGAAAAGACUAGACAAGAGUUACAUCAUCUGGGUCAUCAGUGCAGACAUAUGUCAAAGCUGCCGUAGGCAGAGUGUAGACAAGUAUUACAUCACUUGGGUGAUCAGUGCAGAGAUCUAUCACAGUGCCCCCAUAGGCAGAGCCUAGACAAGAGUUCCAUCACCUGUGUGAUCAGUGUAGAGAUAUGUCACAAUGCCUCCUGUAGGCAGAGGCUAGACAAGAGUUACAUCACCUGGAUUUUGUUUCCUGCAAUAUGUCACAAUGGCGAGGGUGAGGGUUAGGGUUAGGGUGAGGGUCAGGGUGAGGGUCAGGGUGAGGGUCAGGGUGAGGGUGAGGGUCAGGGUGAGGGUGAGGGUUAGGGUUAGGGUGAGCAUUAGGUUUAGGGUUAGGGUUAGGGUUAGGGGUUAGGCUUAGGCUUAGGGUAAGGCUUAGGGUUCAGGUUCAAGUUUGGAUUCGGGUUCGGGUUCAGGUUAAGAGUUAGGGUUAGGGUUACGGGUUAGGGUUAGGGGUUAGGGUUAGGUGUUAGGGCUGGGUUAGGUUUAGGGUUAGGGUUAUGGGUUACGGUUAGGGUUAGGGUUUAGGGUUAGGGUUAGGGUUAGGAUUGGGGUUAGGUUUAGGGUUAGGGUUAGGGUUAGGUUUAGGGUUGGGUUAGGGUUAGGAUUGGG